CAGCCGCCGCGGGAAUACAAAGGGGGCUAGCGUUGCUCGGAAUGACUGGGCGUAAAGGGCGCGUAGGCGGCGAUCAAAGUCAGGCGUGAAAUUCCUGGGCUCAACCUGGGGGCUGCGUUUGAUACUUGAUUGCUAGAGUGGGGAAGAGGGUCGUGGAAUUCCCAGUGUAGAGGUGAAAUUCGUAGAUAUUGGGAAGAACACCGGUGGCGAAGGCGGCGACCUGGUCCUCGACUGACGCUGAGGCGCGAAAGCGUGGGGAGCAAACAGGAUUAGAUACCCCCGUAGUCCCUGUCUCUUAUAC
rnacentral:rRNA from 1 species